ensembl:snRNA U6 U6 spliceosomal RNA
GUGCUCGCUUCAGCAGCACAUAUACUGAAAAAUUGAAACGAUACAGAGAAGAUUAGCAUGGCCCCGGUGCAAGGAUGAAAUGCAAAUUGGGAACCAUUCCAUAAAAAG